AACGAACGCUGGCGGCAUGCCUAACACAUGCAAGUCGAACGAGACCUUCGGGUCUAGUGGCGCACGGGUGCGUAACGCGUGGGAACCUGCCCUUAGGUUCGGAAUAACUCCCCGAAAGGGGUGCUAAUACCGGAGAAUGUCUUCGGACCAAAGAUUUAUCGCCUUUGGAUGGGCCCGCGUUGGAUUAGCUAGUUGGUAGGGUAAAAGCCUACCAAGGCGACGAUCCAUAGCUGGUCUGAGAGGAUGAUCCGCCACACUGGGACUGAGACACGGCCCAGACUCCUACGGGAGGCAGCAGUGGGGAAUAUUGGACAAUGGGCGAAAGCCUGAUCCAGCACUGCCGCGUGAGUGAUGAAGGCCUUAGGGUUGUAAAGCUCUUUUACCCGGGAUGAUAAUGACAGUACCGGGAGAAUAAGCUCCGGCUAACUCCGUG
rnacentral:rRNA from 1 species